rnacentral:tRNA from 1 species
GGUCUGAAAGUUCAUAAGUGAACAUAGGUUUGCAAAACCUAAGGAGUCUUGCACUCAGACCU